UUUGUUUCAAGUCCUUCUUGUUUCUUUGGAAGAAAAGAAAAAGAAAUUGUUCAACCAAGGAUAUAUGCUUUCUAUCGAUUUAAAACAUCAAAUAGUUACACUAAUCUUAUUGAAAAAAAUGAAUUCAAAACUUUAACUAAAGUAUAUUUUUACAUUUGGAUUGCUAUAAUAAUUUCUGGCACUGGCAACACAAUUGGUUGCACCUGCGACCCACCAAUCUUUCGACAAGUUUCAAGAAGACAUUGUCUGCACUUUGGACAUGAUGAAUGUUCUUUUAGCCAUUUGUCAAUGCAACGAACAUGAAAUCCAUGGUUGCAUUUAGGCAAAAUGCGCACCUUUUCACCCUUUGUGAACUCUGAGAGACAUAUCAUACAUUCUGCGUCCAAACUUGGUAGUUUCAAGUCAGUUGAGUAGCUCACUGUGGGAAAUGCCUUAAGAGCUUUCUUCUUGAUUCCUUUAUUGACCGAUUGAGGCGAAGAAUUGCUGUUCGAACUAGAAGAAGAUUCAUUGUUGUUUGAAAUCCUUAAGAAACACCUUAUGAUGGAGUUUAAUACAAGUAAACAAAUAAAAGCACAUAAUAGAACUGCAAUUAUCAUCACAACAUCUGAAUCAAAUUCACGAGCUCCGAACUUUGAGUCGGUUGAAUUGUUGUUGUUCGUGAAAACAGGGGGGUUGAUUUUAAGUGAUUGAUGAUCAACUGGGUUUUGAAUGAGUAACCUUCUUGUGUGAGAUUCCACAAGAAGCUCAUGUAGAAGUGGUGAAGUAAAAGAAGUAGAAGCAUACAUGUUUUCUGUUGGGGGAACUAAUUGAUGAGUUAGCUAUCUAGCUAAUUAGAGCUUGAGGGUUUUUGGUAUGUUAUCUUAGAUAGAUGACUUUAUAUAGGAUGGUUAAUAUAUGGUAUAGGAUAUGGUAUCUUUCCUUUUAUAAAGUUUGAAUUUAACCAUUAUUAUUAUUUGGUGCCUAGACCAUAUAUGAAUAAUGAAUGCACUACACGUUUAACUCUCAUCUUAAAAAUUGUGCUGAUCUGCAUCAUCCUCGUACAUGACACUAUAUGUGUCUAAUAUAUUAUGGUCGCCCCACUUUCAUAGCUAAACCAUAUUGAAAUAUUAUUUUUGGAUCUCUUUGUAAGAUAUAGUUCAACUAAUAAUGUCAAAAUUGUUAGACUGAACAUUUAUUGUGGUUAUCUAGGUUAAAAUCUAAUGUCGCUCAUUUAUGGGUGUAAAUUUUUAAAUGAUCGUUGCUACUUCGUCUACUCAUAAAAACAAUGUUUGGGUCCGAAACAAAUUAAAUAUUUUAUUACAUGAUAUAUUUGUUUUAUUACGAUCUUCAUGCAAGUUGUUAGAUUGCAAUAUGUUUAAUUAAUUGGUUUAAGAACUUGUGGCUCCUAGAUCAUAUUGGGACAAUGCUUAAGCUAAAUUUGAUAUGCAAUCCAAUAAUACUAUUUGUCUACAGCUGUUCGUACUUUUAUACGGAAAGUGCUUGUGGAAAAGAGCUUAAUUAAUACUUUUGUUUUAAUUGAUUUGUUUAGCCUCUUGGCUUUGCUGAUAACAUAAAUGGAUGGAAUUACAAAUUAACAAGUACCACUACUGGUAUCCGUAUCGUGAUUUGUUGGAUAUCACUACUUUUAUAGUUUCUUUGCACCUGCAUCCUGUGAGAGAUAAGGGAGAAAUAGAAAAGUGAACACUUACACCAAACAGGCUCCAACUAAUUAGUCAUUUGAGUUGUGAUCUCAUCACUAGCUUAGGUCAUAAAAAUUUGUGUGUUCAUUGAUAGUUGGGUUACAUAAAGGAAAACUAAUAGUUUGAAUUAAGAUACACCACCAAAUACUGAUAGAUGAGUAAAAUUGCAAAAAAUAAAAAAGUGAUAUUAUCGAGUUAAUGAUGAUAAGGUGAAAGUUGUUGUGAACAUCGUCUGCUGUGAAUAAAGUUUUUCAUAUUUCUAUUUGUUAUGGCUUCGUACAAAACUCACAUCAAUACUAUGAUGUGUGGAGCAAAAUAAAGGAGAAGAAGAACACAAUGAUAAAAUAAAAUAACAAAAUAAAGGAGAAAAGGAACACAAUGUCCGUUUGUCCCAAAUUUGACCUACAAUUGAGGGAGAGAGCAGCUCUCCAAUCCACUAUCAAAUAGUUUCUUACAAAGAGAUACAAUAGUUAUAAGAAAUUAGCCUUCAACAAUAAACCCUAAUUUCUACCCUUUUUUAGUCCCUGUCCUUGAUCGAGGAUUUUACUCAUCAAAAUGUUUAGAUUUUUUUCAACCCUAAAGUAUAGCUCAAAAGCAUUCAAUUCUUAGCUUUUGAUCUCCUAAGAAUCUCUCGUUUUGAUAACCCUAGUUUGCUUUACACCUCUCAUUCAAAACUAUGUUUAGACGCAAAAAUAUGAAUUUAGUUGUGGGUGUGCGCCUCGCGCAUGGAACAGUGUGCCUCGACCGUCAGGCAUGGGGCAAUAGUGAAAGGCUAUCGGAAAAUACAUUGAUGCACCUUGUGCAUAAAGUAGAACGACACCAUUUUUUUUGUGUGCAAACGAUGCGAUUUCAAGAACAACCGCCUUUUUUUUAAAUGUUAGUUGCUUGAUUAAAUAUUAUUCAUUGGUGUAGUUUGAACUCAUGACCUCCAACUCUUGUAUAUAUAUCUCAUCUUUUGAUAUAGUAUCUUGUUGGCUGAUUUCAUUGGAGUAAUUUUUACUUUGAUCUAUUUUAUUUUUUAUUUCCUUCUUGUUUCUACAACAAAAAAAUGUUUAGCGCAAGUUAUACGUAUUUUCAGUUCAAAACUUCAAAUAAUUGCACCAUAAUCUUUAUAUUGGAAAAGAAAUGCAAUAAAAAAUUUAACCAGUGUAUUUUUACAUUUGAGGUCAAAGUAAAGCAAAGAAAGUUUCAAAUUGUAAUUCACCAAUAACCACAAAAUUAGAUAUGGUUAAUUGGUUUUUGAUUUGAACUACCUUGCUCACUCGGAAUAAAGAAGGGCAUUAAAAGUAGUCGUUAAUUGUUAGCUUGUAUUUCUCUAUAGUUACGUUCCAAAGCUUCGUGCUCUAGUGGUUCUAUCCUUAUAAUAGUUUCUGGCACUGGCAACAAAAUUGGUUGCACUUGCGACCCACCAAUCUUUCGACAAGUUUCAAGAAGACAUUGUCUGCACUUUGGACAUGAUGAAUGUUCUUUUAGCCAUUUGUCAAUGCAACGAACAUGAAAUCCAUGGUUGCAUUUAGGCAAAAUGCGCAAUUUUUCACCCUUUGUGAACUCUGAGAGACAUAUCAUACAAUCUGUAUCCAAACUUGGUAGAUUCAACUCGGUGGAAUAGCUCAUUGUAGGAAAUUUCUUGAGAGCUUUCUUCUUGAUUCCUUUGUUGACCAAUUGAGGUGAAUUGUUGUUGCUUGAACUCGAAGAAGAGUCGUUGUUGAGGGCUACAUUUAAAAAUAUUAAGGCACGCCUUAUGAUAAAGUUUAAUGCAAGGGGACCAAUAAAAGCACAUAAUACAACUGCAAGUAUCAUCACAACAUUUGAAUCAAAUUCAGGAGCUCUAAAAUAUGAGUCGGUUGAAUUGUGGCUAUUUGUGAAAAUACGGGAGUUGAUUUUAAGUGAUUGAUGAUCAACUGGGUUUUGAAUGAGUAACCUUCUUGUGUGAGAUUCCACAAGAAGUUCAUGGAGAAGUGGUGAAGUAAAGGAAGUAGAAGCAUACAUUGUUUUUUGUUGGGGAAUUUUAUGAGUUAGUUAAUUAGAGCUUGAGUUGCUGUUAUGUUGUAUCUUAGUUAGGGGUAUAUAUAGGGAAGUUUAAAAAUAUGGUAGUAGGAUAUAGUAUCUUGCUUUUACUAAAGUUUGAGUUUAACUAUUAUUAUAAUUUGGUGCUUAGACCCUAGUUGCUUGUUACUUAUUUUUUUGAUUGGCCUAUUUGCUUGUUACUUAAAUUAAACCAGUUACUAUAUGAAUGCACUACACUAUUAGUUCUUAACUUAAAACUUGUAGUAGUAAUAUUAUAUGUGUGUAAUAUUAUAUGGUCGCCCACUCGCCUAGCCACUGUAUUAGACUAUAUAAUUGGAUCCGUAACAAAUCCCUUUUGCUAUAUGAAAUAUUUGUUUUGUUAUGAUGUUCAUGCAAGUGGUUAGAUCGUAAUAUAUUUGGUUUAAGAAGUCGUGGCUCCUAAUUAAAGCAGGGUAUUUAAAUAGCAAACAAUAGAUCAAAUUGACAAAAUAUUUAAGCUAAAUUUGAUUUGCAAUCUAAUCUAAUCUAAAAAAAAUACUAGUAUUUUAUUUUGUGCUUUUAUGCGCAAAGUGCUUGUGGAAAGGUUUUUUUCUUCUUCUUUUUUAUUAUGUUAUUGAUUGAUGGCUUAAAUAUGUAUUUCAUCCUUGCAAUUAAGGGCCGUUUAAAAUUUUUUUCAUGUAAUCGCUAAUACUGGUAAUUUACCUUUGCAUUGUUUAAUCAUUUAAAAUUUCGUCCCUCUCCCCACUUAAUCACUGCCACACGUCACAGUCACACAUGAAAUUUCAAUUUUACCCUUAGGUUUCCAAUUCUUUCUUCAAUAUUUUGUCCUCUUCUUAAGAGCAAAAUUGGAAUUUCAUGUGUGGCAGUGAUUAAGUUGGUCAAAGGACGAAAUUUUAAAUGAUUAAUGAUUGCAAGGCUAGUUUGCAAGGAUUAGCGAAUACAGAGACCAAUUUUUAAACGACCCCUAAUUGCAAGGAUGAAAUACAUAUUUAAACCUUCAUUGAUUUGUUUUGCUUCUUGGCAAUUUGAUUAUAACAGCGUAUUGAAUGGAGUAGUGCACAUAGUGAUCAAUAUAACCGCGGAAGACAAGAAUUAUAAUAAGGUCACUAUUUAGAAUUCAUUAAAAGCAACACUUUUGGAUAUAUGGCAGUAAUACCACUUACUUGGAUCCGUAUCUUGAUGGGUUGGAUCUCACUAAAUGUCUACAUCAUGUGGGAGAUAGAGAGAGAAAAGAGAAAGGUGGACACAGACGACAACGGUUAGUUGAACAGCUAGCUAGAUAUAUAUAACUACAACUAUGCAUAACUAACAUAUAUCAACAUGCAUGUUGUCUUAUAAUGAUGAACAAAUUGAUCAACAUGCAUUAUAUCUUCAUCUAGGAUCCACCUAUAGAUAUAGGAUGUUGGUUUAAUUAAUGAAAAAAGUUCUUAAUAUUAUUUUUUAAAUGAAAAUGAUAUGUUUUUAAAUAGAGAUAAAAAAAAAAAAAGGUUUUGUUGCCUUGACUCAAAAUUUGUGAAGUUUUGGAAGUUGACAAUCAUAACACGAUUUUUAAGGCAAUAAGUGUGUAUGCUAAAAACAAAAUCGUGGCGUGAUGACAAAAAUCGUAGCACGAUUUUGGAAUAAAGAUGUAGUAUUGUAUUGUGUAUUAUUUGUAAUGUGGCACAUGAUUUAGGCAAAUUGUUACACAUUUUACACUAGUUUGAGUACUAUUUAUGGUUUCAUGGUUCAUUUUUUGAGGAAGGGCUCCAAGAGAGAGAAACUUUGAAAAUCAAAUGAGCUAACUUUAAGGUUGAGUGUCUUUAGUGAGGAGUUCUCUUGGGUUGGGAAACAUUUGUAAACAUCUUGGAGAGUAAAAUCAUUGAGUCUCUUGUUCUUGGAAAGAGAUUAGGGAAAUGGUAGAAAUUAGGUUUUGUUUUGGGAGAGUUUGUUGAAACUAAUUUCAAUUCUUUGUAAAAGAACUCGUUGAUAGUGGAUUGGAGAGAUCAAUCUCCCCUGCAUAGUAGGUUAUUGUUAGACCGAACUUUGUAAACAAUUAUUGAUUUGUUUGUUUCUCUUCCGUCUUUAUCUUUUUACUUGUAGUUUUGUGUUUUUACACUUGGUUUCUAGAUUAGAUAUAGGAUGUUGUAUUUGCUUGAGGUUACUUUGAUAUUGGUUACUACUUGCCUUUUGCUCUGCACAUCUAAAUUUAUUAUUGGUGUGAGAUUUAAGUCCGAAUUCACAACAGGUUUAAUUAUUACUCUAUUGAAUUAUGAAUACGAAGAAGGAAUAAAGUUCGUAAAUAGAUAUAGUACUAUUGACAAUUCAUUAGUUUUCCUGUUAGAGACGGUUGAGUCUUUAUAUCUCGAGUUGGUAAUUGUGUUAAAAGACUACUAUAGUAGAUUUUUCAUGCAAGAAUAAGUAAGUCAUUAAUUCCCAAAGUAUAAUCCACUUUGUGGAUACAAGUGUACUAGUGUACGAGUAGACCAUGGGUAUAUUGGGUAAAACAUCUGGAGCCCCUCUUUCUUUUACCCCUUCACUCCUACAAAUGUUAACCAUAUGUCUCUAAGGGUAGGUCGUGUGGCAGUCUGGUCCAAGCAGCAACCAACGCUAUUUCAUGAUCUUCUCGCACGCAUGGUCCAAGCAGAGUUGAACCUAGUACGUAAGGGAUAAGUACGUACCAUGAUUCAAAUGUUGUUUUCACUAUGGUUGAUCAAAUUUGAUAUGAACUUUCUUGCUCAACCACAACUCAAGACAUUAAGAGAGGGUAUUUAAUUAGUUUAUAUUUCUCUAUAGUUACGUUCCAAAGCUUCAUGCUCAAGUGGUUGGAUCCUUAUAACGGUUUCUAGUACUGGCAUAACAAUUGGUUGUUGUGACCGAACAAUCUUUCUACAAGUUUCAAGAAGACAUUGUCUACACUUUGGACAUGAUGGGUGUUCCUUUAGCCAUUUGUCAAUGCAACGAACGUGAAAUCCAUGGU
rnacentral:lncRNA from 1 species